rnacentral:misc_RNA from 1 species
GUGCGCGUAUCUGUUUAAGCAGGAACGCACACACACACAUACACAAACAUACACUCGUACAUCUGUGCGCAUAUAAAACGUGUGCGUGCUAACUUGAGCGCUGAGCGGCGAGGCAACACAAACGCACUCGCCGAUGCGCCCAGCGGGAGAAGAGGAAAGCGGCAAAUACACGUGUGUAUUUGGUGCGGCACGCGCCACGCCCUCGUCUUCCCCUCUCGGCCCAUUCCGCAUUCUUCUCACGUGUUGCCCCUGUCGCCAUACAUAGGGUGGUGGUGUGGGGGUACAACCGCACACGACGAGAGAGUCGAGCGAGCAGAGGAGGGGCAGCUACAGAGAUUACCCGGGAUCGGGGACAGUGUGGGCGGCAAUGAUACUCACCAAGGUAGAGGGCCCUAACGCGGCUGGCAACAAGGUUUACGUCUUUGGUGUGAACGACUACCGCCUUGAGGUCCCAGAGCGCUACAACGUUCAGCACUUUGUGGGGCGUGGCGCUUACGGCUUUGUGUGCAGCGCCGUGGACGCGGUGACGAACGAGCCGGUGGCGAUUAAGAAGGUGACGCACCUCUUCGACGAUGCCGUCGAUGCAAAGCGCGUCUUGCGGGAGGUGAAGCUGUUAGCCUAUCUCAAGCACCCCAACAUCCUCUCCCUCAAGGAUCUCUUCAAGUCACCGGACCCGGUCGACACGUACAGCGAGCUCUACGUUGUGACCGACUUGAUGGAGUCGGACAUGGACGCCAUCCUGCGCUCCCCACGCAUCCGUCUCGCCGCCGGGCACGGGCAGUACUUCACCCUUCAGCUGCUGUGCGCACUGCAAUACAUUCACAGCGCUCAUGUGCUGCACCGAGACCUGAAGCCGGGGAACCUGCUGACAGACUCGGAGUGCAACCUUAAGCUGGGCGACUUCGGCCUCGCGCGGGGUAUCGGGCAUGACGACACCAUGACACAGUAUGUGUUCACGCGGUGGUACCGGCCACCAGAGUUGCUGCUGGUGUGCAAGCACUGCAACUACAGCGCGGACAUGUGGGCUGUUGGAUGCCUUGCGGCAGAGAUGUUCACCGGCAAGCCGCUCUUCCCUGGCAAAGACUACAUCAACCAGAUCAAUCUCAUAGUGGAGUUGCUGGGCAUACCGGACCUGGCACGUGACCUGCCGCCGAGCACGUCAACGGAGGCGAUACACUACCUCUCCUCCCUGCCCCCUAGCAAGGGGAAGAAGCUCGAGGAGUACGCCCCGGAGCUGCGGCGUCGCUUUGACGAGACCACCUUUUAUGACAGCUUCGACACGGAGCUAGAGGAGGCGAUUGCUGCGGAGGGCGCCACCAUCGCCCGCCCUCAGCCACGCCCGCCGGAGGAGUACUACGCCGAGUUCGUCGACUUCAUCUUUGGACUACUUCGUUACAACCCCGAGAAGCGGCGCACAGCGAAGGAGUCCAUAGCGCAUGCGUGGCUGUCGGACGUGCGCGGCCCACAGGAGACCAUUGGCGGCUGCGAGGCGGAGCGAAUAUACCGCUGGGAUGCCGACGGCACCGCCUUCACCAUCCCACAACUUCGCCAUCUCUUUAUAGAUGAGAUCGGAAAGUUUGCGUCUACCCGGGGCAGCUGAGCGCCAUCGAGGCUUUCGAUGCGCGCACGCCGAUCCCGAUUAAAGUCGAUGGGCGGGGCGCUUGAUGGUGGAGGUGCUGGAGCAAGCGCUUGUGCCGAGAGGGCGGAAAGCGGUGAUGUGGGAUGGCAUAUAGUUGCUAGGGGGUGUAAGCGGGUGAGAUCUGGAGGGGUGGGGGCCAUCAGCGCCUUCUCUACACCUCUCUCUCCGUCUCCGUCUCUGACUUUCCUUUUCUCGCUAUGCGUCACUGCAGAUCUCGCUCUGUUGCUGCUCUCCGUGAUCGCUCUCAUUGUCCUCCUCCUCUGCGCACUUUUUAAGUCUUCACUCAACGGCCGCGUUUCCAGCGACAUCAACUCUCCCGAUCGACAAAUAAGAGCGCCGGCGGAGGUGAGCCGUUACAUCAUCGCUUCCCGUCUCUCAGCCGCACUUUCUUGUCGCCUUGCCCGUUUGCUUUGGUGUCUUCGGCGUAGGCCGUUGUGCGUCUCUGUGUCUCUCUCUCUCUCUCUGCGUGUGUGCGUGUGCGGCCGUUGUUGCGCGCUUGCAAGUAAACGGGUGCUUUGCUCUCUCGGGCGGUCGUCACUGCUCUCGCCUGCUGCCGUUGUCGAUGCCGUCGCAAUCCCUUUUCAGCCUCCCUCCCCCCAUCCCUCGCUACACUAUUCCCGCUUGCUUGCUCGCCCGCCCUUCUGCCAUUGACCCUAUUCCCUACACCCGUGUGUUUGUCGACUUCAUGUGCGCUUUUAUACUUGUGUGCCGCCCCGCCCCGUGUGUACCUAUCCCUCCCUCUCUUCGGUGGUCCGGGUUUGUGUCCUGGCGUUCUACUGCAAUGCCACACGCCCCAAUGUCCCCCCUACCCGACGAG